CCUACGGGUGGCAGCAGUGAGGAAUAUUGGUCAAUGGGCGGAAGCCUGAACCAGCCAAGUAGCGUGCAGGAUGACGGCCCUACGGGUUGUAAACUGCUUUUAUACGGGAAUAACGCGCCUUACGUGUAGGGCUUUGCAUGUACCGUAUGAAUAAGGACCGGCUAAUUCCGUGCCAGCCGCCCCGGGAAUACGGAAGGUCCGGGCGUUAUCCGGAUUUAUUGGGUUUAAAGGGAGCGUAGGCCGCAUGUCAAGCGUGCUGUGAAAUGUCCGGGCGCAACCCGGGCCUUGCAGCGCGAACUGGCGUGCUUGAGUCCGCGGAAGGCAGGCGGAAUUCGUGGUGUAGCGGUGAAAUGCUUAGAUAUGACGAAGAACCCCGAUGGCGAAGGCAGCUUGCUGCAGCGGAACUGACGCUGAGGCGCGAAAGCGCGGGUAUCGAACAGGAUUAGAUACCCUUGUAGUC
rnacentral:rRNA from 1 species